rnacentral:sRNA from 1 species
UUUUAGCCCAGAUGAAAACGGCAUCCUUUUGUAAAACUUAAAGCCUUUGGCUGGAAAUUUUACUAAAGAUAUAGUGGACAGCUGGAAAUAGC